CCCGCCCCCGCGGCGACCGGCACCGCCGCGCUCGGGGCCUCGCGGACAGGUGGGAGCCGCCCCCGCGGGGGCGAGCGCUGCCCGCGCGCGUCCCGCGGAGCGCCUCGCUCCCCCGCCGCGGCGCGGUGCAGCCGGGGGCGGCGGGGCGCGGACAGGUGGGCCGGCGGGGGCGGCGGUGGGGGCGGGCCGCGGGUAGGCAGCGGCGCGGCUGCCGAGCGGCGCUGCCCGGAGCCUCGGCCCUGCGAUAAAAGGGAAGGGGCAGGGAGGCGGCACCGGCGGCAGGAGGAACGUGCCUGGGAGGGAGCGGGAGGCUGUGCCGAGCGGCGAGCCGCCUCCCUCCCUCCCUGCCGCCCGCCCUCCCGCAGGAAUCCCGGGCGGCGCGGCGGCGGCAGCGGGACGCGCGGCUCCCCCUGGCUGCGCGGCGGCGGCGGGAGGCGGCCGCGCUCUGAGGAGGAGCCGCCGCCGCCUCAUCCUGCGGCAGCGCGAGGAGCCCGGCGAGCGCAGGUGGCAGUGUAGAAGCCAAGAACAAAAAUUGGCAGAAAUAUUUUCUGUGUAUGAGAAAACGAAGAGUGUACUCAUGACUAAGCACAGGAACCUGAAAAACCACAGUUACAAAACAUUCAGGGAAUUGCAUUUGAGGUAUAGCUUCCUGGGGACCCAAACCCUGGAAUUGUAAGCUGUCUGGAUAGCGACUGUCUCUGUUCAGGAAUUGUAAGGCUCUGAUCUGCAAAUGAGGCUUGUGUGUGCUGUCACAAUGCUUUCAUGAUAUGCUGUGCUUUGUGUAGACUAUUCUGAAAAACUAUCACAGUUUCUAAAGUGAAUUUAAAAAAAAUAAAGUGAAUAAGCCUAGAUCUUCAGAGCUGUUCUGCAGAGAAGAGUUCUUCUAACCAUCCUUGCCUGGCCAUCAGGUUAUUGCUCAUCACCUGUUAUUUCUGAGUGGGGACCUGCUUAGGUAUAGCUGGAUGAGAGGAAAGAAGCAGUAAUAAGCUGUAUAAGAUCUAUAUGGCUCUGUAGUGUGUGUGUGUGUGUGUGUGUGUGUGUGUGUGUGGUGUUUUUUUUUUUUUUUUUCUCCACUUGCAUAUUGAGGAAAGCAGUUAAGUAUACUCUUAAAAUUUAUGUGAAUAGCCCUGUUCAAGUCAGUUGAACUGCUUGCAUAGUUCAGGUCAGCAUAAGCUUAUGGCUAUGAGCAUAGAGUUCAUUAGUUUGUGCUAACGUAUUUAGAACGGAAAAUGAAAAUGCCAUGUGUCAUUGAUACAAAAUUUUAAUGAGGUCUUCCAUUACAUCAAGUAUUUGCCAAAAUAUUAAAUAAAAGAAAACUCGUAACUAAGCAGUGUGAUACUCAAGAGUUCAAUCCACAGACAUUUUUCUGUGCUAAUUAUGAAGUAUUGACAUAAAUGAAUGAAAGUACUUGUUAAAGUGCCUUUUGCAGUGUAUAACAGUUAUGUGUUCACAAGAUGAUUCAUAGCAUUCAGCAAUUUGUGAUGAGUUUCCCUGCCAUUACUGGAGAUUACUAAGUAUCUAAUGGAUUUGCACUCCAUUGGGUUACUUUAAAUUAGAUUUGAUAGUGAAAAGGAGAACAAUUUUCUAUCAGCUGAAAAUCAGGCCUGUACUAGAAAUCAGCUAUUCAGUAUUAAAUUGUACUGUACAAUAAAGAGAUAUUUAUUUUUCUAAAAUAAAAUACAAAUGUUUAGUCAUCUUCUCUAUAAAGACAGCGAUGGUGAUGGUGGUGGGGAAAGCUACUGCUUUUGUUUUUGAAAGUUAAUGUACAUUGUAACUAAUAAAAUAUGGCAGACUUGACAUAAUUGAAAGUAGAAUUCAUAAUGAGAAAUCUAAACUGGAAGUGUGAUUAUGUAAGAAGCCAUUUUGAAACUACAAGUCUUGGUUACAUAGAAUACUACUUGAUUUGAUGCAGGAUGUAUUUGUAAGUAUUGUUCCCAUUAAAGGCACAACAGAUGCUAUAUCUUGGCAAAAAACUGUCCUAUGAUUCCAUUUUGAACUGAAAGUUGUGACUGGUUAUGUGUUCUGUUGUCUUAAGAUAACUAUGUUUAAGUGCUCAUACAACUGGUCAUUUUGCACUAUCCUGAAGAUGGGUGUAAUCUGUUAGAUUAAACCUUCCAGACAAUCAUGCUUUAUCAAAGUGUGUAUUAUCUGUUAAUGAUACUGUGUUUUACAUAAGAAAAAUAAACUUUCUCUCUUUUUGGUAGUUGUA